UCGCGGGGCCCCUAAGCUUGUUGGUGAGGUAAUGGCUCACCAAGACGACGACGGGUAGCCGGCCUGAGAGGGCGACCGGCCACACUGGGACUGAGACACGGCCCAGACUCUUACGGGAGGCAGCAGUGGGGAAUAUUGCACAAUGGGGGAAACCCUGAUGCAGCGACGCAGCGUGCGGGAUGACGGCCUUCGGGUUGUAAACCGCUUUCAGCAGGGAAGAAGCCCCUUGGGGUGACGGCACCUGCAGAAGAAGUACCGGCUAACUACGUGCCAGCAGCCGCGGUAAUACGUAGGGUACAAGCGUUGUCCGGAAUUAUUGGGCGUAAAGAGCUCGUAGGUGGUUGGUCACGUCUGCUGUGGAAACGCAACGCUUAACGUUGCGCGUGCAGUGGGUACGGGCUGACUAGAGUGCAGUAGGGGAGUCUGGAAUUCCUGGUGUAGCGGUGAAAUGCGCAGAUAUCAGGAGGAACACCGGUGGCGAAGGCGGGACUCUGGGCUGUAACUGACACUGAGGAGCGAAAGCAUGGGGAGCGAACAGGAUUAGAUACCCUGGUAGUCCAUGCCGUAAACGUUGGGCACUAGGUGUGGGGGACAUUCCACGU
rnacentral:rRNA from 1 species